NNNNNNNNNNNNNNNNNNNNNNNNNNNNNNNNNNNNNNNNNNNNCCCCAGCAGUACCGGACCUCCCCCAGCGGGACCAGACCGCCCCAGCGGGACCGGAGCCCCCCACUCACGCAGCCGGAGCACCCGGGGCGACCGCAGGGCUCGGAGGGGCCGGGCCCCCCGGCGUCCCCGCCAGGCCAGGCCAGGUUUCGGCAGCGGGGGCUCGGCCCCCCGUGUGGGCCCGGCUGUGGGGCAGGCUCAGCUGCGGGCAGCGCGGCCGGGCUGAGCUCCCGCCGGGCACAGCCUGGAAGGACGCCCAGCAGUUUCGCCGGCRGGACGGUGCGGGGACAGUGGGUGCUCCGGGCCCCGAAGCUCCCCCUUGAGCCGGGCAAGCCAGCGGGGGGUGGGAGGAGAGAACGGGUUUGGAAACGGGCAAAAAAGUGAUCCAAACCGGGCUCUGGGAUCCGAACGCGAGUUGCUUUUCCUUACACAAUAAACACUCCGAGUCCCAAAAGAUCAACAAAGUCACUUACAUCAAAGCAGAUGCAAUAAAUACAAGCGAGACGCACCACCGUCGCCCCGAGCGGGAUGCGGCUGGGCCGGGGGUCCUGCAAGGGCGGCAAGCCCAAAGUCUCUGCCCCUGUCCCCCCCCGCACCAACGCAGCCAAUUCCUUUCGGUAGCCCCAUUUCCUACAGCUUUGGCUUGUCGGGGACCCCGAAUUCAGCCCCCCCAGAAGAYGAUAGCUUUAUGCUCCCAGGUAUUCAGCCACAGCCAGGUUCUCCAGGGCACCCAGAGGUGCAGCUGCCCCGAAGAGCCGGGGAGCCCCCAAAAGCCCCACCGGCGCCAGCACCGCGGCAGCUCCCCCGGCGCCCUGAGCCCUCGGCCCUGCGCGCUGCAGGUCCCCCACCGGGACCCCUCUCCCGCUGCCGGCCCCGGGCAACAGCUCCGGAAAAUGCCCUGCGGAACCGGCUGGGCUUUGGUUUCCCCUGAAGGAGGGCAGAGGGAAGGGAAAAGUCCGGGAGCCGGGUGGGGACACCCYGAGCCAGCCCGUGCCGGCGCGCACGUCCAGAGCAGCGCUGAUUUGCGCGCGGGCGCGGGGCCGGAUUGGAGCGCUCGGCGUGGCGGUGGGGCAGAGCAGCCCUGGCCUCGCGGGGAAGGGCCGCCGGGCCACUGCCUUCCCAAAGCAGCAGGCCCAGCCCAGGGCCYGGGCCGGGUGUGCCGCGAGGCAGGCAGAGGGCUGGGAGCCGAGACCCUUCCCAAAACGGGGGGACGACCUCUCCGCGCACUUGGGCU
rnacentral:lncRNA from 1 species